rnacentral:rRNA from 1 species
GAUGAACGCUAGCGGCAGGCUUAACACAUGCAAGUCGAGGGGUAUAGUAGCAAUACUAGAGACCGGCGCACGGGUGCGUAACGCGUAUGCAAUCUACCUUUCACAGAGGGAUAGCCCAGAGAAAUUUGGAUUAAUACCUCAUAGUAUUAUAGUAUGGCAUCAUAUUAUAAUUAAAGUCACAACGGUGAAAGAUGAGCAUGCGUCCCAUUAGCUAGUUGGUAUGGUAACGGCAUACCAAGGCAACGAUGGGUAGGGGUCCUGAGAGGGAGAUCCCCCACACUGGUACUGAGACACGGACCAGACUCCUACGGGAGGCAG